UGCCCCAAGUACUGGCAAAGGCUGCUAUGCAGAUCAGAUUGCUCAGAAGGAGCAGCAUUGCCAGGGUAUAAGCACAUGCCAUGUAACUCAUUACAUGAUACAGCAUCUGACAAGCUGACUACAACAUUUCUGUGCUGGAAUGUUCUCUUUUCAAGACUAGAUCAUAGCUAUCAUCGUGGGUAGAAGUACCAGACCUACUAUAGAUCCUGUAGACUCAAGGAAGGAACUGCUGCUGGGAACCAAGAUGUCUACUAUGACUGCUGUUGCUAAUUAGCUGGAUUCUCUUCAGGCAGUUUGGUCCAUUGUGAAGCAUAUGAAUUCAGGUGAAUGUGAUUCACCAAACUGGAAGCUGUCGUUCAAAAAUGCAUGUACAAUUGGGGAUACAUGCAUAUUGAAUCUAUCU